CCUACGGGAGGCUGCAGUGAGGAAUAUUGGUCAAUGGACGAGAGUCUGAACCAGCCAAGUAGCGUGAAGGAUGACUGCCCUAUGGGUUGUAAACUUCUUUUAUAAAGGAAUAAAACGAGGCACGUGUGCCUUUUUGCAUGUACUUUAUGAAUAAGGAUCGGCUAACUCCGUGCCAGCAGCCGCGGUAAUACGGAGGAUCCGAGCGUUAUCCGGAUUUAUUGGGUUUAAAGGGAGCGUAGAUGGGUUGUUAAGUCAGUUGUGAAAGUUUGUGGCUCAACCGUAAAAUUGCAAUUGAUACUGGCAGUCGUGAGUACAGUUGAGGUAAGCGGAAUUCGUGGUGUAGCGGUGAAAUGCUUAGAUAUCACGAAGAACCCCGAUUGCGAAGGCAGCUUACUAAACUGUGACUGACAUUGAUGCUCGAAAGUGUGGGUAUCAAACAGGAUUAGAUACCCGGGUAGUC
rnacentral:rRNA from 1 species